GAGAGAGACAAAGCUACGGCACGCUAUGGUGUGAACCGUGAUGAAGCUACGGCACGGGAUCUUGCCGAUGCUCAAGAGGAAUUCGAACGUGAAGACUCGCCCCAAAGAUGGGAGGAGAAUGCUGCCAAUGGGUGCUUUGAUGUUGUUUUCAUCUUCGAAGAGAAGGUUUUCGAUAUGACCAUUGAAGAAGCAUACUAGUGUUGUGACUGCUGGAUUGAACUUGGGAAGAUCUAAAUAGUCGGGAGCAUACAUUGAUGAAAAGUGUACUUAUAAUCAAUUUGGAUGCAAAAAGUAACCAUGAAGAAGCUUUUGUUGGGGCCAAGUGCUUUGGAUUUAUGCCAGAAGCUUGAAGCAAUAGAUUGCUGGGAAGAUGCAAUAGAUGACAUUGUUGCCACUUUUGAGAAGCAGCACAAGCAAAAGCUCUUGUCUAGCAUUUCCUUCUACUAGAAGUACAUAGAUGCAGAUUAUCUGGGCAUAUUUCAGCUUUUUAACUCAAAUCUUGUGCCAUGCCCUUAUUAUUGAGCA